rnacentral:rRNA from 1 species
GAUGAACGCUGGCGGCGUGCCUAAUACAUGCAAGUCGAGCGAACAGACGAGGAGCUUGCUCCUCUGACGUUAGCGGCGGACGGAUGAGUAACACGUGGAUAACCUACCUAUAAGACUGGGAUAACUUCGGGAAACCGGAGCUAAUACCGGAUAAUAUAUUGAACCGCAUGGUUCAAUAGUGAAAGACGGUUUUGCUGUCACUUAUAGAUGGAUCCGCGCCGCAUUAGCUAGUUGGUAAGGUAACGGCUUACCAAGGCAACGAUGCGUAGCCGACCUGAGAGGGCGAUCGGCCACACUGGAACUGAGACACGGUCCAGACUCCUACGGGAGGCAGCAGUAGGGAAUCUUCCGCAAUGGGCGAAAGCUUGACGGAGCAACGCCGCGUGAGUGAUGAAGGUCUUCGGAUCGUAAAACUCUGUUAUUAGGGAAGAACAAAUGUGUAAGUAACUAUGCACGUCUUGACGGUACCUAAUCAGAAAGCCACGGCUAACUACGUG